CCCCAACGGAUCAUCCUGAAAGCACGACAUUGCUCACAUUGCUUCCAGUAUUUCUUAGCCAGCCGGGUGCUGGCUUUUUUUU
rnacentral:antisense_RNA from 1 species